rnacentral:precursor_RNA from 13 species
GAAUUCUGCAUCAAACCAGACUUUUCCUAGUCCCUGAGACCCUAACUUGUGAGGUAUUUAGUAACAUCACAAGUCAGGCUCUUGGGACCUAGGCGGAGGGGAACCAGCAGCUUUGGACCU